GUGUCAGCAGCCGCGGUAAUACGGGGGGGGCAAGCGUUGUUCGGAAUUACUGGGCGUAAAGGGUUUGUAGGUGGCCCGCUAAGUCACACGUGAAAUCCCUCAGCUUAACUGGGGAACUGCGUGUGAGACUGGCAGGCUCGAGGGCAGGAGAGGAACGCGGAAUUCCAGGUGUAGCGGUGAAAUGCGUAGAUAUCUGGAGGAACACCGGUGGCGAAGGCGGCGUUCUGGACUGUCUCUGACACUGAAGAACGAAAGCCAGGGGAGCAAACGGGAUUAGAUACCCCUGUAGUCC
rnacentral:rRNA from 1 species